CUUUCUCUCCUCUCUCUCUCUCCCCUCCCUCUCUCCCCCUCCCGCUCUCUUUUCCCUCUCCCUACAAGUCUGGCACUGAAGGAGAACUGUUUUGCUUUGCUCCGGGAAGAGUGCAGACACGACGUGAAAUCCGGAGCUCUUUGCGUGGUGCAUUUAAAAUGCUUCCUUAUUUAUAUUAUCCUCAUCUCCUCCCCUCUCCCACCCCCUCACCAGUCCUUCCAAUUUUCCCUAGAAAUCUGUGUAAAGCGUGGAGGGGAAAACAUUUGCAUAAAAAGUGAAGGAGCUCGCCAAGCCCUUCUGAGCACAGGACCCUAUGUGAUGACUCCACAUGUCACAAACUUUUGAAGACAUCCUUGGCAUGAAAGGUUGAGAAUUGAUCCACCUCCCAGACCAAGAGUCCAAUUGCUCACCUUCCUCCAUCAAGCAAAUAACUCCAUCUACAGCAGAAAACUUCAGCAUCCUCCAUUACUGAUUGGCUAGAGGACUCUUCUUCUUUAACCAAAUUCCUGUUAAUUGAUGUCUCAGCUUUGAAGACAGACCCUAUCUCUCCCAUGCAAACAGAUGCCUUGCA